UAACUUUCUUGUUGUCGUACCGGAGUCUUGUCUGUGGAGUCGUGUAGCGGGAGUGAUUAGGCGCGCACAGCCCUGUAAUCACGCCCCUGCUGCCCGUGCGUCUGCGCCGACGCAUCUCUGCCCGCGUCCCGCUCCCCUCUAGCCCCACAUCAUGCUUCGGGGCGAAUAUCUCCGCUUCGAACAAAAAAAAGAAGACAGCCUUCGCCUGCGUACUCCGUUAACGACCCGACCUGUUUUCGUCGAUGCCGUGUGGGAAGAUUUAGCGAAUUUGAAUUUCGAUUGCAGGACCCCGGUCCAAAAGGUCCAUCCAUCAUGAGAAUUGAUGGAUUUGGGCCCCAAAAAGACGCGUUAAAGUUUGCGAGAUGAAAGCGAAUGCUUUUGAGUAAUCCAUUGGUAAGUAAGCGAACCUAUUAUGUUUUGUUGUGGUCUUUUUUAAGUCUUUCGUUGAUUUGAUUUUUAUGUUUGUUCCUUUUUCCUCUAUGUCUAACAAAGCGUUUAAUGUUCUUUGCCCUGGAAAAAGGUAAACUUAUAUUAUGUAUAACUGAAGAGAGGAGUAUUUGAGAAACACUUUCAUUUGUUCUUAAGUAGUAAUUAAAUUCCAUAUAUAAAACAAAUAUGCCGCCGCUAACCUCGAAGUCAAAAAACAGUAAAGGGCACACUGCAUUUUGAAGAAGCCUAAUUAAAUAAGUAUUUGCAGCAGAAACAGCAGAUUGCUGGUAGCGACUACUAGUGAUUCAAGUGAAGUUAUCGCAAGUGUGCUUUAACCUUUAAUUUGUAUUUGUACUAAUUCAGUAAUAUAUUAAUUGUACAGGCUUUUUAAUUUUCGCCCAGUAGUAGAAAUUCGGUCUUAAUCAAUAACGCUUCGAGAUUCCAAUUUAUUAUAUGUAUUAAAUUUCCUCUUUUAUUUUCUUUCGGGAAACGGUGGAAAACUGUUUAUAAGAACAUUAAAUCCAGUUGGAGAUCUAAGGCUGGCAUAGAACGAAGUCGGGUACAAAUAAAAUAGAAAUUUGAUACGUGCAUAUUCAACUAACUUGAGACUCAUAUUGUAAUAUAAUAACUAAUAUUCAACAACUAACUUAACUAUACUUGAGACCUUAGAACUUAUAUCUCAAGGAAGGUCCGCAUUUACGUUGUAGAUGUCUAUGGGCUCCAGUAACCAUUAACACCAGGUGGGCCGUGAGCUCGUCCACCCAUCUCAGCAAUAAAAAAAAAGUAUGACACUAGAAGGCGCUAUAGGGGUGCGUCACAUGAGACGGUUGAGGACAUACCUUAAUUAAACCAAAGCAUCGGAUAUGUGAAGCAAAUUAAGUUUCACGUAGUUUUGUUAGCCCACAAAGGAUAAGUGCUAUCAUCAAACCUAUUUUUUUAUGUUUUAGAGAUUACUGGUGGCCCAGAGGCCUUUCCAGUUUUACCAGGAAAGGUAGGCGAGCAAGAGCUCAGUCAGGAGGUGUGGGAUUUGCUAACAGCUACCCGAGCGCCUCCAAAGGAGACCUAACAACUCAAGAGUAGCUGCUUCGCGAAUGAAUCUACUACCGGAUCGGAAUCGCGAUCCGCUAAGAAGAUCCGGCGAGAAACUCAGCGAGCUGAUGAUUAGGUUAGGUGUGAUGUCUAUUGGCUUCUAGUAACCGCUUUACACCAGUUAGGCGAUCAGCUCGUACCUUCAUCCGUACAAUAAAUAGAACUAAUUAUUCAUAUAUUAAUUAGGUACAUUGCGUGCGAUCUUGAUAUUACGAAAUUCAACUUUUCGGACAAAUUUUUUAAUUAAAUACUGUUUGAAAAUCACGUUCUUAUUUAAACCAUUUUUUUCCAGAGUAUUUUGUAUACGGAACGUUGAUAAGGCGCCUAUGUGUCUGCUAAAAUAUUUGUAAGCAUACAUAUAUUCUGGUUGGGAGUAAGAAAAUAAUACAAAUUACAAAGUAUUUUCCGUGUCCAUUGCGCAUUACAUUUUCUAUUCAUUUAUUGAACCUACUGAUGGUAUGAUACCAAUUCCUGAGAACUAACUGUACUGAUCAUCCAGAUUCAAUUAAAUUUUUAAAUAGAAUAAUAAAUACACUACUGCGUCAAUGAAAGUACAACGAAGAGUCGCUUUUAUGUAAAAUACGGUAAACCAAACUAAGGCAGUCAAAAAUAUUGUAUUGGAUUGCAACAGUGCAUGUAAAAUGCAGUAUCUUCGGACAAAACCAUUCACUUUAUGGUAAAGCAUCUGCUAAAUUUCACGCGUACCUUUUCAAUUACACAUCAGCUAAGUCGUAUAUCGUUCAGUUGCAAUAAAAGUUUGUAUUUAGAAAGAAAGCAGCAUUGGACGCGCUAGAUCCGUUGGUGACAUUGAUCAUUAAUAGCGUUCCACACAUUUGCUGGACAUUUAUAGGAUUAUCUCCCUUACGGUCAUUGAUUUUAUGAUCAGUUUGGUCAGUUCUCGGUGCGAGAGCAGGUGGGUUACAUUCGGCGAGCGCGAACGUGUCACGCAUACUUCUCGGUGAACGAUGAACAAUUCUUUAGACUUGGUUAUUAAAAUAUUUGUUGUUCCGAUGUUAUUUAUUUGUAUACGAGGUGAAGCUUUGUACCGCGCCGACAGACGUUUGCCCCGAUGUAGGUGGCGGCCCGAUGUUCGGCUGCCAUUGUGAACGGCUGUGACCAAUCGUUGUAUGCGAGAUAAUAACAUCGCUAAAUUCGUUUUAUUAAUAUACAUUUGAGGAAAAAAACACAACUUUAAUAUUAAACAGUGCAAACAUCUUGCACAAUACAGUUUAUGUUUUUGUUGAAUUUUUCAAUGUAGCACAACGAAACAAUUUGAUGGAGGCGCGGAUCCAGCAGACGAUGCGGCGCAGUCAGAAAGAGAUGCAUCUAUAUGUGGGAAUGCAAAAGAGGAAACGUCCGACCGACGGAGCCAUCAGAGGUCGAAUAUAAAUGUGGAAUGUUUAUGGAUCUACCGUUUUAUUUUAGCCUUAUGCCGGCAAAGCAUUAAAAUAUUGUUUCAAUUGAAAGCGGCAGAUCAGACGUUGCAUCUAAUGAAGAAUAGUCGAUAAAAAAUCUACAACAGUUGAUUGAGGUCGAUUUGCGAAUGGUUCGGCGAUGCUUCUCAGAGAUAACUGUGACUGAUAGGCAACACUACCCGUGUUACGAAUCUUGAUACCACUCUAAUAUCUCUGACUUGUAGAGCAAAUUGAAUAAAAAAAUGGUAAUGAUAUGAACAAAUUAUGAAAUCAGUGUACUUUUUUAAACAUACGGAUAUUUGAUCGUUUAUUUGGAUAUUUAUUUGAUUAACUGUUGAUAUAGAAAAGGGUUCGGUGUUGAUUUAGAAUGUUUGAUUUUGAGUUUAAAACGAUUGUUGGACUGCGCAGUUGUGUUGCGAGUUGAAUAAGCAAGAGACGACCGCCCGCGCACAAAGGCUUUGUCACCACGACGAAGCUUUCAUUCGGCGCUUUUGGCAUAGCGGACCGAGAUGCUUUGUGGUGCGAUUAGUCGCGGCGCCGAGUGGCAGUGCCGGCCGCUAGUGUUGUGACACCAGCACAGAGCAUCACACACGCCGACACAAACGCCGACUGUUUGCAUUGUACUACGUGCCGUGACAUAUCGUUUGUCGGACGCUGGCGACGCUCCGCCUUGACUCACCAUGUUUUAUGACCCUAAGCUUUGUUCCCAUUCAAUGUCUUAGAUAUAAAGGAGUCGCUUUAACAAUUACACGAGGCUUAGGUACCCAUUAAAACUAUACUUUUAUUGUUUUUGAUUUAAAAUACACCAAUGAAUAAUAUAAUCUAUUUAUGUACAUAUAUGAUCAAAACAUAUACAGGAUUGUUGACUUUGUGCGUCUUUUAUGCCUGCUAAGCUACACAAUGGCCAACCAAUUUGUAUUAAAGUUUUUAUUUGUCUUAAGUCGGGAAUAAAUCGGGGAUACAUGCUCGUACCAAAUAAUAGUAAAAAUAUGUAAUUGUGUGAUUAAGUGAUUAAUUAAGUCAUUUUUCAUUUAUUCUUUAUUGCAUUCGGAAUAAAAUAGAAAAAAAAAAGAAUAAUUGUACAAUGUUAUUGUAUAAUUAUGUAUGUUAUUGUAUAUAAUGUAAUUGUACAAAUAAGCAACUUGUAUAUCCCGUCUGAAUGUAAGAGUAAUAAUAAAUAAAUUCAUUCAAUCAUAGAAAA